GCCCCUGUAGCUCAGUCGGUAGAGCACUUGACUUUUAAUCAAGUUGUCCGGGAUUCGAUUUCCCGCAGGAGCA
rnacentral:tRNA from 1 species